UACGGAGGGUGCAAGCGUUAUCCGGAUUCACUGGGUUUAAAGGGUGCGUAGGUGGGCUGGUAAGUCAGUGGUGAAAUCUCCAGGCUUAACUUGGAAACUGCCAUUGAUACUAUUAGUCUUGAAUACCGUGGAGGUCAGCGGAAUAUGUCAUGUAGCGGUGAAAUGCUUAGAUAUGACAUGGAACACCAAUUGCGAAGGCAGCUGGCUACACGAAUAUUGACACUGAUGCACGAAAGCGUGGGGAUCAAACAGG
rnacentral:rRNA from 1 species